CCCUACGGGGGGCAGCAGUCGGGAAUAUUGCGCAAUGGAGGAAACUCUGACGCAGUGACGCCGCGUGCAGGAAGAAGGUUUUCGGAUUGUAAACUGCUUUAGACAGGGAAGAAAAAAGACAGUACCUGUAGAAUAAGCUCCGGCUAACUACGUGCCAGCAGCCGCGGUAAUACGGAGGGUGCGAGCGUUAAUCGGAAUUACUGGGCGUAAAGCGCUCGUAGGCGGUAUGUCAAGUCAAGGGUGAAAUCCCCGCGCUCAACGUGGGAACUGCCUUUGAAACUGGCAAACUGGAGUGUGUGAGAGGA
rnacentral:rRNA from 1 species